GGGUUGUGAGGUUAAGCGACUAAGCGUACACGGUGGAUGCCCUGGCAGUCAGAGGCGAUGAAGGACGUGCUAAUCUGCGAUAAGCGUCGGUAAGGUGAUAUGAACCGUUAUAACCGGCGAUUUCCGAAUGGGGAAACCCAGUGUGUUUCGACACACUAUCAUUAACUGAAUCCAUAGGUUAAUGAGGCGAACCGGGGGAACUGAAACAUCUAAGUACCCCGAGGAAAAGAAAUCAACCGAGAUUCCCCCAGUAGCGGCGAGCGAACGGGGAGCAGCCCAGAGCCUGAAUCAGUGUGUGUGUUAGUGGAAGCGUCUGGAAAGGCGCGCGAUACAGGGUGACAGCCCCGUACACAAAAAUGCACAUACUGUGAGCUCGAUGAGUAGGGCGGGACACGUGGUAUCCUGUCUGAAUAUGGGGGACCAUCCUCCAAGGCUAAAUACUCCUGACUGACCGAUAGUGAACCAGUACCGUGAGGGAAAGGCGAAAAGAACCCCGGCGAGGGGAGUGAAAAAGAACCUGAAACCGUGUACGUACAAGCAGUGGGAGCACGCUUAGGCGUGUGACUGCGUACCUUUUGUAUAAUGGGUCAGCGACUUAUAUUCUGUAGCAAGGUUAACCGAAUAGGGGAGCCGAAGGGAAACCGAGUCUUAACUGGGCGUUAAGUUGCAGGGUAUAGACCCGAAACCCGGUGAUCUAGCCAUGGGCAGGUUGAAGGUUGGGUAACACUAACUGGAGGACCGAACCGACUAAUGUUGAAAAAUUAGCGGAUGACUUGUGGCUGGGGGUGAAAGGCCAAUCAAACCGGGAGAUAGCUGGUUCUCCCCGAAAGCUAUUUAGGUAGCGCCUCGUGAAUUCAUCUCCGGGGGUAGAGCACUGUUUCGGCAAGGGGGUCAUCCCGACUUACCAACCCGAUGCAAACUGCGAAUACCGGAGAAUGUUAUCACGGGAGACACACGGCGGGUGCUAACGUCCGUCGUGAAGAGGGAAACAACCCAGACCGCCAGCUAAGGUCCCAAAGUCAUGGUUAAGUGGGAAACGAUGUGGGAAGGCCCAGACAGCCAGGAUGUUGGCUUAGAAGCAGCCAUCAUUUAAAGAAAGCGUAAUAGCUCACUGGUCGAGUCGGCCUGCGCGGAAGAUGUAACGGGGCUAAACCAUGCACCGAAGCUGCGGCAGCGACACUAUGUGUUGUUGGGUAGGGGAGCGUUCUGUAAGCCUGUGAAGGUGUGCUGUGAGGUAUGCUGGAGGUAUCAGAAGUGCGAAUGCUGACAUAAGUAACGAUAAAGCGGGUGAAAAGCCCGCUCGCCGGAAGACCAAGGGUUCCUGUCCAACGUUAAUCGGGGCAGGGUGAGUCGACCCCUAAGGCGAGGCCGAAAGGCGUAGUCGAUGGGAAACAGGUUAAUAUUCCUGUACUUGGUGUUACUGCGAAGGGGGGACGGAGAAGGCUAUGUUGGCCGGGCGACGGUUGUCCCGGUUUAAGCGUGUAGGCUGGUUUUCCAGGCAAAUCCGGAAAAUCAAGGCUGAGGCGUGAUGACGAGGCACUACGGUGCUGAAGCAACAAAUGCCCUGCUUCCAGGAAAAGCCUCUAAGCAUCAGGUAACAUCAAAUCGUACCCCAAACCGACACAGGUGGUCAGGUAGAGAAUACCAAGGCGCUUGAGAGAACUCGGGUGAAGGAACUAGGCAAAAUGGUGCCGUAACUUCGGGAGAAGGCACGCUGAUAUGUAGGUGAAGUCCCUCGCGGAUGGAGCUGAAAUCAGUCGAAGAUACCAGCUGGCUGCAACUGUUUAUUAAAAACACAGCACUGUGCAAACACGAAAGUGGACGUAUACGGUGUGACGCCUGCCCGGUGCCGGAAGGUUAAUUGAUGGGGUCAGCGCAAGCGAAGCUCUUGAUCGAAGCCCCGGUAAACGGCGGCCGUAACUAUAACGGUCCUAAGGUAGCGAAAUUCCUUGUCGGGUAAGUUCCGACCUGCACGAAUGGCGUAAUGAUGGCCAGGCUGUCUCCACCCGAGACUCAGUGAAAUUGAACUCGCUGUGAAGAUGCAGUGUACCCGCGGCAAGACGGAAAGACCCCGUGAACCUUUACUAUAGCUUGACACUGAACAUUGAGCCUUGAUGUGUAGGAUAGGUGGGAGGCUUUGAAGUGUGGACGCCAGUCUGCAUGGAGCCGACCUUGAAAUACCACCCUUUAAUGUUUGAUGUUCUAACGUUGACCCGUAAUCCGGGUUGCGGACAGUGUCUGGUGGGUAGUUUGACUGGGGCGGUCUCCUCCUAAAGAGUAACGGAGGAGCACGAAGGUUGGCUAAUCCUGGUCGGACAUCAGGAGGUUAGUGCAAUGGCAUAAGCCAGCUUGACUGCGAGCGUGACGGCGCGAGCAGGUGCGAAAGCAGGUCAUAGUGAUCCGGUGGUUCUGAAUGGAAGGGCCAUCGCUCAACGGAUAAAAGGUACUCCGGGGAUAACAGGCUGAUACCGCCCAAGAGUUCAUAUCGACGGCGGUGUUUGGCACCUCGAUGUCGGCUCAUCACAUCCUGGGGCUGAAGUAGGUCCCAAGGGUAUGGCUGUUCGCCAUUUAAAGUGGUACGCGAGCUGGGUUUAGAACGUCGUGAGACAGUUCGGUCCCUAUCUGCCGUGGGCGCUGGAGAACUGAGGGGGGCUGCUCCUAGUACGAGAGGACCGGAGUGGACGCAUCACUGGUGUUCGGGUUGUCAUGCCAAUGGCACUGCCCGGUAGCUAAAUGCGGAAGAGAUAAGUGCUGAAAGCAUCUAAGCACGAAACUUGCCCCGAGAUGAGUUCUCCCUGACUCCUUGAGAGUCCUGAAGGAACGUUGAAGACGACGACGUUGAUAGGCCGGGUGUGUAAGCGCAGCGAUGCGUUGAGCUAACCGGUACUAAUGAACCGUGAGGCUUAACCUUACAACGCCGAAG
rnacentral:rRNA from 1 species